CACAACAGAGAUGGAAAUCACACAUCUACACACUCUCCUGUUCACCCACAUGUUUUGUGCAUCAACCACUGGAAGGGCAAACGGGGUUGUGUGGCCCUAUAGUCAUUCAGGUUGAUGUUGGGCGUAUGGAUUUGGAGAGUGCUGAAUGGUGCAUAUUAGAAAGCUGGAUUAAGGAUGGAACUCUCAGAAGGAUCAGUCAGCUCAUUCUGACCAUUGAUCUGCAGUGGCGGGGUUUGUAGGUGGGUGGUGUCGAAGAGGAGGUGGUGCGUUUCUGGUACAGUGUACUUGAGAGCCCUCCACAUCUCAGGACUCCAACUCAUGCAUUCAGCACAUGAAACUCCUCACAUCAGUAACCUUUAUUUAUUAGAGCCUCAUUAUUUUAUGCAUAUAUGCACUGUAUUUAUUUAGUUUUUUGCUUGUAACAAGCGACAUCGACUGUGCACAGCAAGAUGCCAAACUAUCCAGGAACAAAGGAAAAUGCUUUAGUGACCUUACAUGAACUGUAGAAACAUAAACUCUCAAGACUCCAGAGCUUUAACUUUUGUUGUUCAUAGUGUUCUGUAGCUGUGGGCCACCACAAAUGAUACUUUAUUGUACUCCGACAGCCUGGGAAAGGUUCUGGACUGAAAUAAAACAAUGAGAUGAGAC
rnacentral:lncRNA from 1 species